UAAAGGGAGAGCCUGAGAAUAAUGCCUUUGU
rnacentral:piRNA from 1 species